rnacentral:rRNA from 1 species
UUGGAGGGCAAGUCUGGUGCCAGCAGCCGCGGUAAUUCCAGCUCCAAUAGCGUAUAUUAAAGUUGUUGCAGUUAAAAAGCUCGUAGUUGAACUUCGGGGUCUACCCAUUGGUCAGGCUUAAUUGUCUGUACUGGUGAGAUGGAUCUCUACCUUCUGAGGAACUUUCAUGUCAUUUAUUUGGUGUGAUGGGAAAUCAGGACUGUUACUUUGAAAAAAUUAGAGUGUUUAAAGCAGACUAUCGUCUGAAUACAUUAGCAUGGAAUAAUGAAAUAGGACGGACUGAUUCUAUUUCGUUGGUUUCUAGGAUCACCGUAAUGAUUAAUAGGGAUAGUUGGGGGCAUUAGUAUUCAAUUGUCAGAGGUGAAAUUCUUGGAUUUAUUGAAGACUAACUACUGCGAAAGCAUUUGCCAAGGAUGUUUUCAUUAAUCAAGAACGAAAGUUAGGGGAUCGAAGACGAUCAGAUACCGUCGUAGUCUUAACCAUAAACUAUGCCGACUAGGGAUCGGAUGAUGUUAAUUUUUUAAUGACUCAUUCGGCGCCUUACGGGAAAC